rnacentral:piRNA from 1 species
UGGGAGAAUUCAUUAAUGCCCUCAUCCGACC